rnacentral:lncRNA from 1 species
CCAAAUUCUAAGUUCUUCAUGGGUUCCCAAAUUAAAUUUGCAUUUAUGUUUUUUUUUAAAUUAAAAGUCCCAUAUUUAGAUUUUUGUAUUUAAAAUAGAAUUGUGUUUUUUUAAAAUUAAAAGUCCCAUGUUUAGAUUUUUUUUGUAUUUAAAAUAGAAUUGUGUUUUUUUUUUUUAAAUUAAAAGUCCCAUGUUUAGAUUUUUUUGUAUUUAAA